UACGUAGGGUGCAAGCGUUAAUCGGAAUUACUGGGCGUAAAGCGUGCGCAGGCGGUUGUGCAAGACAGGGGGGAAAUCCCCGGGCUUAACCUGGGAACUGCAUUUGUGACUGCACGGCUAGAGUGUGUCAGAGGGGGGUAGAAUUCCACGUGUAGCAGUGAAAUGCGUAGAUAUGUGGAGGAAUACCGAUGGCGAAGGCAGCCCCCUGGGAUAACACUGACGCUCAUGCACGAAAGCGUGGGGAGCAAACAGG
rnacentral:rRNA from 1 species